CCUGACUGCUAUCGGAUUGAUACUAAGCCAUGCGAGUCAUUGUAGCAAUACAAGGCAUACGGCUCAGUAACGCGUAGUCAACCUAACCUAUGGACGGGAAUAACCUCGGGAAACUGAGAAUAAUGCCCGAUAGAACACUAUACCUGGAAUGGUUUGUGUUCCAAAUGAUUUAUCGCCAUAGGAUGGGACUGCGGCCUAUCAGUUUGUUGGUGAGGUAAUGGCCCACCAAGACUAUUACAGGUACGGGCUCUGAGAGGAGUAGCCCGGAGAUGGGUACCGAGACACGGACCCAGGCCCUAUGGGGCGCAGCAGGCGAGAAAACUUUGCAAUGUGCGAAAGCACGACAAGGUUAAUCCGAGUGAUUUGUGCUAAACGAAUCUUUUGUUAGUCCUAGAAACACUAACGAAUAAGGGGUGGGCAAGUUCUGGUGUCAGCCGCCGCGGUAAAACCAGCACCUCAAGUGGUCAGGAUGAUUAUUGGGCCUAAAGCAUCCGUAGCCGGCUCUGUAAGUUUUCGGUUAAAUCUGUACGCUUAACGUACAGGCUGCCGGGAAUACUGCAGAGCUAGGGAGUGGGAGAGGUAGACGGUACUCGGUAGGAAGUGGUAAAAUGCUUUGAUCUAUCGAUGACCACCUGUGGCGAAGGCGGUCUACCAGAACACGUCCGACGGUGAGGGAUGAAAGCUGGGGGAGCAAACCGGAUUAGAUACCCGGGUAGUCCCAGCUGUAAACUAUGCAAACUCAGUGAUGCAUUGGCUUGUGGCCAAUGCAGUGCUGCAGGGAAGCCGUUAAGUUUGCCGCCUGGGAAGUACGUACGCAAGUAUGAAACUUAAAGGAAUUGGCGGGGGAGCACCACAAGGGGUGAAGCCUGCGGUUC
rnacentral:rRNA from 1 species